GUGAGGAAUAUUGGACAAUGGGCGCAAGCCUGAUCCAGCCAUGCCGCGUGCAGGAAGACGCAUCUAUGGUGUGUAAACUGCUUUUGUACGGGAAGAAACACUCCCUCGUGAGGGAGCUUGACGGUACCGUAAGAAUAAGGAUCGGCUAACUCCGUACCAGCAGCCGCGGUAAUACGGAGGAUCCAAGCGUUAUCCGGAAUCAUUGGGUUUAAAGGGUCCGUAGGCGGUUUAAUAAGUCAGUGGUGAAAGCCCAUCGCUCAACGAUGGAACGGCCAUUGAUACUGUUAGACUUGAAUUACAAGGAAGUAACUAGAAUAUGUAGUGUAGCGGUGAAAUGCUUAGAUAUUACAUGGAAUACCAAUUGCGAAGGCAGGUUACUACUUGUGGAUUGACGCUGAUGGACGAAAGCGUGGGGAGCGAACAGGAUUAGAUACCCGUGUAGUCC
rnacentral:rRNA from 1 species